UUCGGGGGACAAAGUGACAGGUGGUGCAUGGUUGUCGUCAGCUCGUGUCGUGAGAUGUUGGGUUAAGUCCCGCAACGAGCGCAACCCUUAAGCUUAGUUGCCAUCAUUAAGUUGGGCACUCUAGGUUGACUGUCGGUGAUAAACCGGAGGAAGGUGGGGAUGACGUCAAAUCAUCAUGCCCCUUAUGAUUUGGGCUACACACGUGCUACAAUGGACAAUACAAAGGGCAGCUAAACCGCGAGGUCAUGCAAAUCCCAUAAAGUUGUUCUCAGUUCGGAUUGUAGUCUGCAACUCGACUACAUGAAGCUGGAAUCGCUAGUAAUCGUAGAUCAGCAUGCUACGGUGAAUACGUUCCCGGGUCUUGUACACACCGCCCGUCACACCACGAGAGUUUGUAACACCCGAAGCCGGUGGAGUAACCAUUUAUGGAGCUAGCCGUCGAAGGUGGGACAAAUGAUUGGGGUGAAGUCGUAACAAGGUAGCCGUAUCGGAAGGUGCGG
rnacentral:rRNA from 1 species